UCAAGUGACUAAGUGUAUGUGGUGGAUGCCUUGGCGAUCACAGGCGAAGAAGGACGUAGUAGCUUGCGAUAAGCUGCGGGGAGCCGGCAAACGGGCUUUGAUCCGCAGAUUUCCGAAUGGGGGAACCCACCGACGUAAGUCGGUAUCACACACUGAAUACAUAGGUGUGUGAGGCGAACGGAGCGAACUGAAACAUCUAAGUAGCUCCAGGAAAAGAAAUCAACCGAGAUUGCGAAAGUAGCGGCGAGCGAAAUCGCAGCAGCCCAGUGUUCUGAUAGCACGAACGACAGCAGAAGGGUCUGGAAAGGCCUGCUAUAGAGGGUGAUAGCCCCGUAUGCGAAAUCGAACGUGUGGUACUAAGGAACCGAUAAGUAGGGCGGGACACGUGACAUCCUGUCUGAAGAUGGGGGGACCAUCCUCCAAGGCUAAAUACUCGUGAUCGACCGAUAGUGAACCAGUACUGUGAAGGAAAGGCGAAAAGAACCCCGGGAGGGGAGUGAAAUAGAACCUGAAACCGCAUACAUACAAACAGUAGGAGCCCGUGUAGUCGGGUGACUGCGUACCUUUUGCAUAAUGGGUCAGCGACUUACGUUUUGUGGCGAGCUUAACCGAGUAGGGGAGGCGUAGCGAAAGCGAGUUCGAAUAGAGCGAGAAGUCUCAAGGCGUAGACCCGAAACCAGAUGAGCUAUCCAUGGCCAGGUUGAAGGUGUGGUAACACACACUGGAGGACCGAACCGACUAGUGUUGCAAAAUUAGCGGAUGAGCUGUGGAUAGGGGUGAAAGGCUUAACAAAUCUGGAGAUAGCUGGUUCUCCCCGAAAACUAUUGAGGUAGUGCCUCGUGUAUUGCUCCAGGGGGUAGAGCACUGUUAUGGCUAGGGGGACAUGGCGUCUUACCAAACCAUGGCAAACUCCGAAUACUUGGAAGUAAGAGCACGGGAGACAGAGCACCGGGUGCUAACGUCCGGACUCAAGAGGGAAACAACCCAGACCGCCGUUUAAGGUCCCAAAUAUUGACUAAGUGGAAAACGAAGUGUGAAGGCUAAGACAGUCAGGAAGUUGGCUUAGAAGCAGCCAUCCUUCAAAGAAAGCGUAAUAGCUCACUGAUCGAGUCCUCAUGCGCGGAAGAUGUAACGGGGCUAAGUCAAUAACCGAAAGCGCGGAUUUGUACGGAAGUACAAGUGGUAGGGGAGCGUUCUGUAAGCCUGCGAAGGUGGUUCGAGAGGACUGCUGGAGGUAUCAGAAGUGCGAAUGCUGACAUGAGUAACGUUAAAGCGGGUGAAAAGCCCGCUCGCCGUAAGCCCAAGGUUUCCUGCUCUACGUUCAUCGGAGCAGGGUGAGUCGGCCCCUAAGGCCAGGCUGAGAAGCGUAGUCGAUGGGAAGCAGAUUAAUAUUUCUGCACCAUGUGCAAGUGCGAUGGGGGGACGGAGUGCGAAAGAUCAUCCGGGUGUUGGAUGUCCCGGUUUGUGAGUGUAGAAGGCCGACAGGCAAAUCCGUCGGCAGAUCUUCGAGACAAAGCAUCGAGGUUCUACGGAACCGAAGUGAUCGGAAGUGCUUCCAGGAAAAGCCUCUAAGCUCCAGCUUGCAUGUGACCGUACCGUAAACCGACACUGGUGGGCGAGUUGAAUAUACUCAGGCGCUUGAGAGAACUCGGGAGAAGGAACUCGGCAAAUUGACACCGUAACUUCGGGAUAAGGUGUGCCUUUGUAGCGUGAAGAGAGAAACACUCGGAGCGUGAAGAGGCCUCAGAGAAUCGGUGGCUGCAACUGUUUAUUAAAAACACAGCACUCUGCAAAGACGAAAGUCGACGUAUAGGGUGUGAUGCCUGCCCGGUGCUGGAAGAUUAAGUGAUGGGGUGAGAGCUCCUGAUCGAAGUCCCAGUAAACGGCGGCCGUAACUAUAACGGUCCUAAGGUAGCGAAAUUCCUUGUC
rnacentral:rRNA from 1 species